rnacentral:rRNA from 1 species
UACGUAGGGUGCGAGCGUUAAUCGGAUUUACUGGGCGUAAAGGGGGCGUAGGCGGCCGUGAAAGUCCGGUGUGAAAACUCACGGCUCAACCGUGGGACUGCGCUGGAAACUACACGGCUUGAGGACGGUAGAGGGAGACGGAACUGCUGGUGUAGGGGUGAAAUCCGUAGAUAUCAGCAGGAACGCCGGUGGAGAAGUCGGUCUGCUGGGCCGUAACCGACGCUGAGGCACGAAAGCUAGGGGAGCGAACCGG